rnacentral:rRNA from 1 species
AUACGGAGGGUGCAAGCGUUAUUCGGAAUCACUGGGCGUAAAGGACGCGUAGGCGGGAAGCCAAGUCUGAUGUGAAAUCCUAUGGCUCAACCAUAGAACUGCAUUGGAAACUGGUUACCUAGAGUAUGGGAGGGGGAGAUGGAAUUAGUGGUGUAGGGGUAAAAUCCGUAGAUAUCACUAGGAAUACCGAAAGCGAAGGCGAUCUCCUGGAACAAUGCUGACGCUAAGGCGUGAAAGCGUGGGGAGCAAACGGGAUUAGAAACCCUAGUAGUCC